UUACUCUAGUGGCGCACGGGUGAGUAACACGUGAGUAACCUGCCCCCGACGAGCGGGAUAGCCCUGGGAAACUGGGAUUAAUACCGCAUAGUAUCGAAAGAUUAAAGCAGCAAUGCGCUUGGGGAUGGGCUCGCGGCCUAUUAGUUAGUUGGUGAGGUAACGGCUCACCAAGGCGAUGACGGGUAGCCGGUCUGAGAGGAUGUCCGGCCACACUGGAACUGAGACACGGUCCAGACACCUACGGAAGGCAGCAG
rnacentral:rRNA from 1 species